rnacentral:rRNA from 3 species
CCCGAAACCAGGUGAUCUACCCUUGGUCAGGUUGAAGUUCAGGUAACACUGAAUGGAGGACCGAACCGACUUACGUUGAAAAGUGAGCGGAUGAACUGAGGGUAGCGGAGAAAUUCCAAUCGAACUUGGAGAUAGCUGGUUCUCUCCGAAAUAGCUUUAGGGCUAGCCUCAAGUGAUGAUUAUUGGAGGUAGAGCACUGUUUGGACGAGGGGCCCCUCUCGGGUUACCGAAUUCAGACAAACUCCGAAUGCCAAUUAAUUUAACUUGGGAGUCAGAACAUGGGUGAUAAGGUCCGUGUUCGAAAGGGAAACAGCCCAGACCACCAGCUAAGGUCCCAAAAUAUAUGUUAAGUGGAAAAGGAUGUGGCGUUGCCCAGACAACUAGGAUGUUGGCUUAGAAGCAGCCAUCAUUUAAAGAGUGCGUAAUAGCUCACUAGUCGAGUGACACUGCGCCGAAAAUGUACCGGGGCUAAACAUAUUACCGAAGCUGUGGAUUGUCCUUUGGACAAUGGUAGGAGAGCGUUCUAAGGGCGUCGAAGCAUGAUCGCAAGGACAUGUGGAGCGCUUAGAAGUGAGAAUGCCGGUGUGAGUAGCGAAAGACGGGUGAGAAUCCCGUCCACCGAUUGACUAAGGUUUCCAGAGGAAGGCUCGUCCGCUCUGGGUUAGUCGGGUCCUAAGCUGAGGCCGACAGGCGUAGGCGAUGGAUAACAGGUUGAUAUUCCUGUACCACCUAGUAUCGUUUUAAUCGAUGGGGGGACGCAGUAGGAUAGGCGAAGCGUGCUGUUGGAGUGCACGUCCAAGCAGUAAGGCUGAGUGUUAGGCAAAUCCGGCACUCAUAAGGCUGAGCUGUGAUGGGGAGAGGAAAUUGUUUCCUCGAGUCGUUGAUUUCACACUGCCGAGAAAAGCCUCUAGAUAGAUAACAGGUGCCCGUACCGCAAACCGACACAGGUAGUCAAGAUGAGAAUUCUAAGGUGAGCGAGCGAACUCUCGUUAAGGAACUCGGCAAAAUGACCCCGUAACUUCGGGAGAAGGGGUGCUCUUUAGGGUUCACGCCCAGAAGAGCCGCAGUGAAUAGGCCCAAGCGACUGUUUAUCAAAAACACAGGUCUCUGCUAAACCGUAAGGUGAUGUAUAGGGGCUGACGCCUGCCCGGUGCUGGAAGGUUAAGAGGAGUGGUUAGCUUCUGCGAAGCUACGAAUCGAAGCCCCAGUAAACGGCGGCCGUAACUAUAACGGUCCUAAGGUAGCGAAAUUCCUUGUCGGGUAAGUUCCGACCCGCACGAAAGGCGUAACGAUUUGGGCACUGUCUCAACGAGAGACUCGGUGAAAUCAUAGUACCUGUGAAGAUGCAGGUUACCCGCGACAGGACGGAAAGACCCCGUGGAGCUUUACUGUAGCCUGAUAUUGAAAUUCGGCACAGCUUGUACAGGAUAGGUAGGAGCCUUUGAAACGUGAGCGCUAGCUUACGUGGAGGCGUUGGUGGGAUACUACCCUAGCUGUGUUGGCUUUCUAACCCGCACCACUUAUCGUGGUGGGAGACAGUGUCAGGCGGGCAGUUUGACUGGGGCGGUCGCCUCCUAAAAGGUAACGGAGGCGCUCAAAGGUUCCCUCAGAAUGGUUGGAAAUCAUUCAUAGAGUGUAAAGGCAUAAGGGAGCUUGACUGCGAGACCUACAAGUCGAGCAGGGUCGAAAGACGGACUUAGUGAUCCGGUGGUUCCGCAUGGAAGGGCCAUCGCUCAACGGAUAAAAGCUACCCCGGGGAUAACAGGCUUAUCUCCCCCAAGAGUUCACAUCGACGGGGAGGUUUGGCACCUCGAUGUCGGCUCAUCGCAUCCUGGGGCUGUAGUCGGUCCCAAGGGUUGGGCUGUUCGCCCAUUAAAGCGGUACGCGAGCUGGGUUCAGAACGUCGUGAGACAGUUCGGUCCCUAUCCGUCGUGGGCGUAGGAAAUUUGAGAGGAGCUGUCCUUAGUACGAGAGGACCGGGAUGGACAUACCUCUGGUGUACCAGUUGUCGUGCCAACGGCAUAGCUGGGUAGCUAUGUAUGGACGGGAUAAGUGCUGAAAGCAUCUAAGCAUGAAGCCCCCCUCAAGAUGAGAUUUCCCAACUUCGGUUAU